CAGUCGAACGGACUCAUAUUGAAACCUAGUGAUUUAUGAGUUAGUGGCGGACGGGUGAGUAACGCGUGGAUAACCUACCGUAUACCGGGGGAUAACACUUAGAAAUAGGUGCUAAUACCGCAUAAGCGCACGGCUCCGCAUGGGGCAGUGUGAAAAACUCCGGUGGUAUACGAUGGAUCCGCGUCUGAUUAGCUAGUUGGCGGGGUAACGGCCCACCAAGGCAGCGAUCAGUAGCCGGCCUGAGAGGGUGGACGGCCACAUUGGGACUGAGACACGGCCCAAACUCCUACGGGAGGCAGCAGUGGGGAAUAUUGCACAAUGGGGGAAACCCUGAUGCAGCGACGCCGCGUGAGUGAAGAAGUAUCUCGGUACGUAAAGCUCUAUCAGCAGGGAAGAAAAUGACGGUACCUGACUAAGAAGCCCCGGCUAACUACGUGCCAGCAGCCGCGGUAAUACGUAGGGGGCAAGCGUUAUCCGGAUUUACUGGGUGUAAAGGGAGCGUAGACGGCAGCACAAGUCUGGAGUGAAAUCCCGGGGCUUAACCCCGGAACUGCUUUGGAAACUGUGCGGCUGGAGUGCAGGAGGGGUAAGCGGAAUUCCUAGUGUAGCGGUGAAAUGCGUAGAUAUUAGGAGGAACACCGGUGGCGAAGGCGGCUUACUGGACUGUAACUGACGUUGAGGCUCGAAAGCGUGGGGAGCAAACAGGAUUAGAUACCCUGGUAGUCCACGCCGUAAACGAUGAUUACUAGGUGUCGGGGGAUCAAGGUCCUCCGGUGCCGGCGCAAACGCAUUAAGUAAUCCACCUGGGGAGUACGUUCGCAAGAAUGAAACUCAAAGGAAUUGACGGAGACCCGCACAAGCGGUGGAGCAUGUGGUUUA
rnacentral:rRNA from 1 species